rnacentral:rRNA from 1 species
UACGUAGGGUGCAAGCGUUGUCCGGAUUCAUUGGGCGUAAAGAGCUCGUAGGCGGCCGUUCGCGUCGGAUGUGAAAGCUCAGGGCUCAACUCUGAGAUGCCAUUCGAUACGGGACGGCUAGAGGUAGGUAGGGGAGAGUGGAAUUCCUGGUGUAGCGGUGAAAUGCGCAGAUAUCAGGAGGAACACAGGUGGCGAAGGCGGCUCUCUGGGCCUUACCUGACGCUGAGGAGCGAAAGCUGGGGGAGCGAACAGG